GUGAUCAGGGAAAUGUUGGCCUGUUUUCUUCACCUUCUUUGGUCCUGACAAAGGGGAUUGUUGGUAAUGCGCACAACUUGAACAAGUUUGGCAUAUUUCUGUGAGUGCAUGAAGGAGGAAGCAAGUUAAAUGGUAAAAUUCAAACUAAUUGUGGUGAACACCUGUACUUAUACAUGCCCACAAGCUAUUUGAGUGGAUGUAUCAUGCAGGGCUUCAAUCUAACAGAGAGCAGGAUCUUAAGGAAGAUGUUAAGCAUGGAUAACUUCAAAGGGGUUCGAAGGGGAAACUUUUAGAAUUCAUCAGAUUGCCAUUUUGAACUAUACUUCUCUUGAAGCAUAGAGGUGAGAAAAUAUGUGGGGCCUUUAGGCUGGCAGUGUUCUCAUCUGAUCAAUUACUUGGAGGUAAUUAGUGGGUACUAUGUUUAAUUGCUUUGAGGACGGUGACAGUUUUGAAAGUACCAAGGGAGCAAAUGUGAGGUUUGGAUCCCUAUGACUCCUUCCCCAUUCCUGGCCUGCUCCUCCUUUUUGCAUCCCUAUGACUAUACACUCAACAUGACUCUUGACUAAAUGCAAGGAAGUUACCUUCAUACUGA